rnacentral:rRNA from 2 species
UACGGGAGGCAGCAGUGGGGAAUAUUGGACAAUGGGGGCAACCCUGAUCCAGCCAUGCCGCGUGUGUGAAGAAGGCCUUUUGGUUGUAAAGCACUUUAAGCAGGGAGGAGAGGCUAAUGGUUAAUACCCAUUAGAUUAGACGUUACCUGCAGAAUAAGCACCGGCUAACUCUGUGCCAGCAGCCGCGGUAAU